UACGAAGGGGGCUAGCGUUGUUCGGAAUCACUGGGCGUAAAGCGCGCGCAGGCGGUUUCUUAAGUCUGAUGUGAAAGCCCACGGCUCAACCGUGGAGGGUCAUUGGAAACUGGGGAACUUGAGUGCAGAAGAGAAAAGCGGAAUUCCACGUGUAGCGGUGAAAUGCGUAGAGAUGUGGAGGAACACCAGUGGCGAAGGCGGCUUUUUGGUCUGUAACUGACGCUGAGGCGCGAAAGCGUGGGGAGCAAACAGG
rnacentral:rRNA from 1 species